rnacentral:rRNA from 1 species
CCUACGGGGGGCUGCAGUGGGGAAUAUUGGACAAUGGGGGGAACCCUGAUCCAGCCAUGCCGCGUGUGUGAAGAAGGCCCUCGGGUUGUAAAGCACUUUCAGUGAGGAAGAACGCCUGGUGGUUAAUACCCAUCAGGAAAGACAUCACUCACAGAGGAAGCACCGGCUAACUCCGUGCCAGCAGCCGCGGUAAUACGGAGGGUGCGAGCGUUAAUCGGAAUUACUGGGCGUAAAGCGCGCGUAGGUGGCUUGAUAAGCCGGUUGUGAAAGCCCCGGGCUCAACCUGGGAACGGCAUCCGGAACUGUCAAGCUAGAGUGCAGGAGAGGAAGGUAGAAUUCCCGGUGUAGCGGUGAAAUGCGUAGAGAUCGGGAGGAAUACCAGUGGCGAAGGCGGCCUUCUGGACUGACACUGACACUGAGGUGCGAAAGCGUGGGUAGCAAACAGGAUUAGAUACCCCAGUAGUC